UACAGAGGGUGCAAGCGUUGUUCGGAAUUACUGAGCGUAAAGGGCGUGUAGGCGGCUUAACAAGUCAGGUGUGAAAUCCCCGGGCUUAACCUGGGAACCGCAUUUGUGACUGCAUAGCUGGAGUACGGCAGAGGGGGAUGGAAUUCCGCGUGUAGCAGUGAAAUGCGUAGAUAUGCGGAGGAACACCGAUGGCGAAGGCAGUCCCCUGGGCCUGUACUGACGCUCAUGCACGAAAGCGUGGGGAGCAAACAGG
rnacentral:rRNA from 1 species